GUCCUUUUGAUAAUAAUAUAAGGUCUAACCUGCCCACUGAUUAAUUAAAUGGCCGCGGUAUUUUGACCGUGCAAAGGUAGCAUAAUCAUUAGUUUUUUAAUUGAAAGCUAGAAUGAAUGGUUGAAUAAGAAAGGUUCUGUCUCAAUUUAAAUUUAUUAAAAUUUUAUUUUUAAGUGAAAAAGCUUAAAUUUAAUUUAAAGACGAGAAGACCCUAUAGAGUUUAAUAAAUAGUUUUUAUAUUUAGUUAAGGUUAAACUUUUUUUAUAAGAAAUAUUUAUUUGGUUGGGGUGACUUAAAAAUUAAUUUAACUUUUUUAUUUUUUUACAUUAAUUUAUGAAUAGUUGAUCCAUUUUUAUGAUUAAAAGAUUAAAUUACCUUAGGGAUAACAGCGUUAUUUUUUUUGAGAGUUCUUAUCGAUAAAAAAGAUUGCGACCUCGAUGUUGGAUUAAAAUUAAUAUUUGGUGUAGAAGCUAUAUUAUUGAGUCUGUUCGACUUUUAAAAUUUUACA
rnacentral:rRNA from 1 species